rnacentral:rRNA from 1 species
UACGUAGGGUGCAAGCGUUGUCCGGAAUUAUUGGGCGUAAAGAGCUCGUAGGCGGUUUGUCGCGUCUGCUGUGAAAACUCGGGGCUUAACUCCGGGCCUGCAGUGGGUACGGGCAGACUAGAGUGCGGUAGGGGAGACUGGAAUUCCUGGUGUAGCGGUGAAAUGCGUAGAGAUCAGGAGGAACACCCGUGGCGAAGGCGGCCCUCUGGCUCGACCCUGACGCUGAGGCGCGAAAGCGUGGGGAGCGAACGGG